UACAGAGGUCUCAAGCGUUGUUCGGAUUCAUUGGGCGUAAAGGGUGCGUAGGUGGCGAGGUAAGUCGGAUGUGAAAUCCCGGGGCUCAACCCCGGAACUGCAUUCGAUACUGCCCUGCUAGAGUACUGGAGAGGAGAUUGGAAUUUACGGUGUAGCAGUGAAAUGCGUAGAUAUCGUAAGGAAGACCAGUGGCGAAGGCGGAUCUCUGGACAGUUACUGACACUGAGGCACGAAGGCCAGGGGAGCAAACGGG
rnacentral:rRNA from 1 species